GUUUUGGGUCACGGUGCCUGUGCCGGGUCCCGGUGCCGUGUCCUAUGUCCUGGAUCCCGGUCCCGGUUCUGGUGCCGGGUUCUGAUUCCCAGUUCCAGUCCCGGUCCCGGUACCGGGUGCCGGUACCGGGUGCCGUGUUUUGGGUCCCGGUGCCGGUACUGGGUGUCGGUGCUGGGUGCCGUGUUUUGGGUCCCGGUGCCGGGUUCUGCAUUCUGGGUUCCAGUCCCGGUACCGGUACCGGGUGCCAAUACUGAGUGCUGUGUUUUGGGUCUCAGUUCCAGUCCCGGUCCCGGUACCGGGUGCCAGUGCCGGGUGCUGUGUUUUGGGUCCCGGUGCCGGUGCCGGGUUCUGCAUUCUGAGUCUCAGUCCCAGUCCCGGUUCCGGUGCUGGGUGCCGGUUCCGGUGCCGGUUCUGGGUCUCAGUCCCAGUCCCAGUCCCGAUGCCGGUUCUGGGUCUCAGUUCCAGUCCCGGUACCGGUACCGGGUGCCGGUUCCGGUGCCGGGCUCUGGUUCUCAGUCCCAGUCCCGGUCCCGGUACCGGGUGCCGGUUCCGGUGCUGGGUUCUGGGUCUCAGUGCCAGUCCCAGUACUGGGUGCCGGUUCCGGUGCCGGUUCUGGGUCUCAGUGCCAGUGCCGGUACCGUGUGCUGGUUCCGGUGCCGGUUCUGGUUCUCAGUCCCGGUCCCAGUCCCAGUACCGGUACCGGGUGUCGGUGUGGGGUGCUGUGUUUUAGCUCCCGGUGCCGGGUGCUGCGUUCUGGGUCUCAGUUCCAGUCCCGGUCCCGGUGCCGGUCCCAGGUGCCGGUUCCAGUGCUGGGCUCUGGUUCUCAGUCCCGGUCCCGGUCCCGGUUCCGGUGCCGGGUUCUGGGGCUCAGUCCCAGUCCCAGUCCCGGUCCCGGUGCUGGGUGCCGGUUCCGGUGCCGGGUUCUGGUUCUCAGUGCCAGUCCCAGUCCCGGUACCGGGUGCCGGUCCCGGUGCCGGGUUCUGGUUCUCAGUCCCGGUCCCGGUCCCGGUCCCGGUGCCGGGUUCUGGUUCUCAGUCCCAGUCCCAGUCCCGGUACCGGCUGCCGGUGUGGGGUGCUGUGCUUUGGAUCCCGGUUCCGGUGCUGGGCGCCGGUUCCGCUGCCGGGCUCUGGUUCUCAGUUCCAGUCCCGGUCCCGGUCCCGGGUGCCGGUUCCGGUGCCGGGCUCUGGCUCUCAGUCCCGGUGCCGGUCCCGGUGCCGGUGCCGGUNNNNNNNNNNGGGCGACCCCUCGGUAAGCGCCGCUCGCCUCCAUCCCGGGAAAUCGCGCAUCCCACCGGGAAUUCCCACCGGCGACCGGACCGGCCCCGCUCACCUGGCGCAGGGCGGGUCCCGGGAAAACUCCAACUCCUAACCGGGACUUCCCUACCGGGGCUUCCCAACCGGGACUUCCCAACCGGGACUUCCCAACCGGGACUUCCCAACCGGGAAUUCUGA
rnacentral:lncRNA from 1 species